CGUGGAGCUGUUCAGACUGUCCCGUGCCCUGGCUGACAUAGUCAUACCACAGGAGUACGGCAUCACCAAAGACGAGAAACUGGACAUCGCUCAGGCUUACUGUGUUCCUUUGAUG